GACGAACGCUGGCGGCGCGCUUAACACAUGCAAGUCGAGCGAGAACCAGGGCUUCGGCCCUGGGGACAGCGGCGAACGGGUGAGUAACACGUGGGUAAUCCACCCUCGGCACCGGAAUAGCCCGGGGAAACCCGGAUUAAUGCCGGAUGGCCCGCCGGCCCUGCGGGGCUGGCGGAAAAGGUAGCUUCGGCCUCCGGCCGAGGACGAGCCCGCGACGGAUUAGCUUGUUGGUGGGGUAACGGCCUACCAAGGCUGCGAUCCGUAGCUGGUCUGAGAGGACGAUGAGCCACACUGGGACUGAGACACGGCCCAGACUCCUACGGGAGGGAGCAGUGGGGAAUCUUGCGCAAUGGGCGAAAGCCUGACGCGGCGACGCCGCGUGAGGGAAGAAGGCCUUCGGGUUGUAAACCUCUUUCAGGAGGGACGAAGCCACUCGGGUUAAUAGCCCAGAGGGUGACGGUACCUCCAGAAGAAGCCCCGGCUAACUACGUGCCAGCCGCCGCCGUAAGAC
rnacentral:rRNA from 1 species